rnacentral:rRNA from 1 species
UACGUGAGGGGCGAACGUUGUUCGGUGUCACUGGGCUUAAAGGGUGCGUAGGUGGUUGCGUAAGUAAGGUGUGAAAUCCCUCGGCUUACCCGGGGAAUUGCAUCUUAUACUGCGUGACUUGAGGACUAAAGGGGAAAAGGGAACUCCAGGUGUAGCGGUGAAAUGCGCAGAUAUCUGGGGGAAGGCCGGCGGCGAAGGCGCUUUUCUGGUUAGAUCCUGACACUGAGGCACGAAAGCGUGGGUAGCAAACAGG